rnacentral:rRNA from 1 species
GAUGAACGCUGGCGGCGUGCCUAAUACAUGCAAGUCGUGCGGAAAGGCCACUUCGGUGGUACUCGAGCGGCGGACGGCAGAGUAACGCGUAGGAACAUACCCCCAAACUGAGGGAUAACUGCUCGAAAGAGUAGCUAAUACCGCAUGUGAUCUUCGGAUUAAAGCUUCGGCGGUUUGGGAAUGGCCUGCGUCCGAUUAGCUUGUUGGUGAGGUAAUAGCUCACCAAGGCGACGAUCGGUAGCUGGUCUGAGAGGAUGAUCAGCCUGACUGGAACUGAGAACGGUCCAGACUCCUACGGGAGGCAGCAGUAGGGAAUUUUCCACAAUGGGCGAAAGCCUGAUGGAGCAACGCCGCGUGCAGGAUGAAUGCCUUCGGGUUGUAAACUGCUUUAUUAGUGAAGAAUAUGACGGU